UACGUAGGGUGCGAGCGUUUGUCCGGAUUUAUUGGGCGUAAAGAGCUCGUAGGCGGCUCGGUAAGUCGGGGUGUGAAAUUUCGAGGCUUAACCUCGAAACGCCACCCGAUACUGCUGUGGCUAGAGUCCGGUAGGGGGAGCGUGGAAUUCCUGGUGUAGCGGUGAAAUGCGCAGAUAUCAGGAGGAACACCAGCGGCGAAGGCGGCGCUCUGGGGCCGGUACUGACGCUGAGGAGCGAAAAGCGUGGGGGAUCAAAACAGG
rnacentral:rRNA from 1 species